rnacentral:rRNA from 1 species
UACAGAGGGUGCAAGCGUUGUUCGGAAUUAUUGGGCGUAAAGGGCGCGUAGGCGGUGCGGUAAGUCUGUAGUGAAAUCUCUGGGCUCAACUCAGAGUCUGCUGCAGAAACUGCCGUGCUUGAGUGUGGGAGAGGUGAGUGGAAUUCCCGGUGUAGCGGUGAAAUGCGUAGAGAUGUGGAGGAACACCGAUGGCGAAGGCAGCCUUCUGGGCCAACACUGACGCUCAUGCACGAAAGCGUGGGGAGCAAACAGG